CUCUCUCGCACGAUCUGCUCCCGGACUCCUUCAGCGCGCUGCCUGCCUGCCCAGGGCCUUCCCGGAGAGCAGGUGACGGCGGCCUCCGGGCAUGGAGCUCGCGCUGACGAAAGGUUCUGGAAGCCGCCGUAAAAAGUAAUCAAGAAACGGGUGACAGGACUUUUCGAACAAGGUCUCACCAUGCUGCCCAAGCUGGUCUGAAAACUCUUGUCCUCAGGCAGUCCUCCCACCUCGGCCUCCCAAAGAUCUGAGAUUACAGGCAUGAGCCACCACACCUGGCCUUGGUUUUAAUUCCUGUCACAGUAUAUUAGUUUUCGCUGUUGUGUAUUGAUUGAUUGAGACAGGGUCUCGCUCUGUUGCCCAGGCUGGAGUGCAGGGGCAUGAUCCCAGCUCACUGCAACCUCCACCUCUUGGAUUCAAGUGAUUCUCCCGUCUCAGCCUCCCGAGUAACAGGAACCACAGGUGUGUGCCAGCACGCCUGGCUAAUUUUUUUUUUUUUUUUCUUGAGGUGGAGUUUCACUGUUGUUGCCCAGGUUGGAGUGCAGUGGCACAAUCUCAGCUCACUGCAACCUCUGCCUCCUGGGUUCAAGUGAUUCUCCUGCUUCAGCCUCACGAGUUGUUGGGAUUACAGGCGCCCGCCACCACGCCCAGGUAAUUUUUGUUUAGUAGAGACGGGGUUUCACCAUGUUGGCCUGGCUGGUCUCGAACUCCUGACCUCAGGUGAUCCACCCACCUCGGCCUCCCAAAGUUGUGGGAUUGCAGGCGUGAGCCACUGCGCCUGGCCUAAUUUUUCAAUUUUUUGGUGGAGAUAGGGUUUCACCAUGUUGGCCAGGCUGGAGUUUUGCCUGUUCUAGAAGCUUGUAUCAGUCAUACAACACCCCUUUGAGGAACCGUUUGAGGUGUGGCACGAUACAGCAAGUCAGCUGCCAAAGAGGGGCUUAGCCACAGGAAGUGCGUGCCCAGAACGCAUCUCCCGUGUCCCUCACAGCAGUUCUAUGAGGCUGGCUGCCCUGUUUGACAACUGAGGCCCGCAUCUUCCCCGGAAUCACCGACGUGUGGCUCUGAGCCCUGUCCCAGGGAUUUUCUCCAUCAGAGAAGAGGAGCACUUUGAGCUUUGAGAGGAGCAGCCCUCUGCAAGUGAAGUGGAAAAAAAGGAAGCAGGCGAGGAGGCCCAUCCAGACCCUCCCCCAAGACCCUUGCUGAAAUGGCUGGGAUGCGGCGUGCAGAAGCUCUCCUUUCCUUCACAGCCCCUGGCUUUCCAAGAGUCCCUGCCCACCCAGAUGCCCGCUGGCAGAUGCAGCCUCAUCUCAAGGACACUGCUUGCUGGAUAAAUCCCUCACCACCCUAGAGACAGCCCACGGUCCUGAGACAAGGAUGCGGGCCAGGCUUGUUGCACGUAAGCGCCUCCCGCAGAAACCAGUGAGGCCGGAGUUCCAGAGGAAAUGAUGUAGGGACAGAGGCAGAGGGCCUCCAGGAGGCACCAGCCCCAGAGUCUUCCCUAGAAUCAGACUUUAAGCACAAGCAGGGAGGGAAAGCACUUGAGCAGUGCCCGUCCCUGCAUACCUGGCCUCUGCUGGAACCCAUGCAGGGACAGGACACUUCUUUAUCAGCAAUCCUGUUCCUCUCCUGGGCAGCUUCAACCUGAACAUCCUCCUUCACCUUGAGCUAAAAUGGGUUUCUUGUCACCCUUGCCCAUCAAACCUGGCCUUGCCCUCAGGAACCACACAGGACAAGCCUAAUACUUCCUUCUUGUGGCAACACUUUAGCAAUUGAGACCUGGCUGUCAGGUCCUCCAAAUAAACAUUUGUGACUGUGAUGUUGACUUGCCGCUUCUGGGGACCUCUUCUCAUUUGAUCGGAGAAAGUUUUUCAGGGUUAAACCUACUUCUUUCCCCCAAGAAACUCUUCUUGUCAGGCUCACGCCUAUAAUCCUGGCACUUUGGGAGGCCAAGGCAGGAGGAUUGUUUGAGACCAGCCUGGGCAACGUAGGUAGACUAUGUUGCUACAAAAAGAAAAAGAAAAAAUGGCCAGGUGUAGUAGUCCCAGCUGCUUGGAGGCUGAGGUAGGAGGUUUGCUUGAGCCCAGGAGGUCGAGGCUGCAGUGAGCUAUGAUUGUGCCACUGCACUCUAGCCUGGGAGACAGAAUGAGGCCCUGUCUCAAAAAAAAAAAAAAAAAAAAAAAGAUGAUGAAACUCCUCACGUAUUUCUCCCCGGAGCAUGUGCUCCCAGGCUCAAAUCCACAGCAGCCUCGUUACACACACGUCAUCCCCUGGCCCCGAGAUAUUGCACCGCCUUCCCCUUUCUAGCUCUGAACCCCCACAUGAAGCAGCCAGACGUAGGAAAACCCAGAUUCAUAAAGCGCUGAUAUGGGUGGUCCUUUACCAAAGGAUUUUCUGCUUUACAAAGUAAUUCACCAAAUGAUUUCCCUAGAGUAUGGGCAGAGAUUUGCAAACUACAGCUUGGAACCAAGCUGCCUUUUUUUUAUAAUAAAGUUUUAUCAGGAUGCAUCCACAUCCAUUCAUCUCUGUGGUGCCAGCUGCUCUAGCUACACAGGCAGAGUGGAAGAGUUGCAGAUGGCCAACAAAACCUAAACUGUUUACCGCCUGGCCCCUUAUAGAAGCAGCUGGCUGACGCUGGCUCCAGGGCAUCAGAAAUGGGACCAUUGGAAAGGAGUAGCCGGGCUACAUGGUUUUUCUUCUGCCCCACGUCUUGUUCUCAAACAUGCUUCCUCCCCAGUCAUCUGAGGAAUGUCAGUCUGAGACAGUCAGGAGCAGGUGUGCCUAGGGAUGCAUGGUUUCUGAAAAUGGGGUGGGGUCUUUUAGGCUGAGGGCUCUGGCAGCUUCUGUCUGAAGGCUGAGCUGAGCUGAGCAGAGCUGGGCAUGGUGGCUCACGCCUGUAGUCCCGGCUACUCAGGAGGCCAAGGUGGGAGAAUCACUUGAGCCUGGGAAGUUCAGAGGAGCCUGGGCAACACAGUGAGACCUCAUCUUUAUUUUUUGAAAUUUUUUGUUUUUAUUAUUUUUUUAAUUUUUAGGAGCAGAGGGUUAAUAGGCAAAAGAAAGAGAGAGAGGAAAACAGCUCUCUCCAGUGAGAGAGAGGGUACUUCUGAAAGGAAAACGCCACCGGCAGCAGAUGCACUGGAUUUUAUAGUCAGGCUUGAGGAGGUGGUGUCUGAUUUACAUAGGGCUCACAGAUUGGUUCAGUCAGGUAUGAUGUUUACAUAGCGCUGGGGUGUGGGGAAGGCUGACCUCCCCACUCUAAUCUUAUUAUGCAAAUGAACUUUCCCCUUGGCCAGCACCAUCUUGUCUGCUCCUUACUGUGCACGUGGCUGGCAGAGAAGGGAAGAUGGAGCCGCCAUUUUGAACAUGAUUGGCACAACUGCCUGCAUCUAUGUCUGCAGCUCGAUUUUACACGCUGCUCUUUGUUAGAAAGGAAAAUGAUUUGGGGCUGCUUUUCAGUAAAAGGAAAACCUUACUGAGGACUUCUGUAUCCUCACUAUCUAAGUAAUUUCCUCUUAACUCCUGUAUCAUUCCCCACUCUGGAGUGGUAACCCUAACUGCUCUUCGGGGUUGUUUGAUGAUGACUCUUUCUGGCUACUUCAUACUUAAAAGGGGUGUUGUGUGGGGAACAGAAGCUAAGGGCUCCUCCUGGGGUCGAGCUAAGGGUCCUCGGAAAAAAGGCAUGUCCGUGCAUGGUUCUGUCUGCAGCACCAUUUAGAGUUUGAUUACUGUCAGCCAUUCUGAUGGGUUGUAACACUGGUUUGCCUCCACCAGAUGUUGAGAUAGUUUCCAGAUUCCAGAGAAACCAGG
rnacentral:lncRNA from 1 species